UACGGAGGGGGCUAGCGUUGUUCGGAAUUACUGGGCGUAAAGCGCACGUAGGCGGCUUUGUAAGUUAGAGGUGAAAGCCCGGGGCUCAACCCCGGAAUUGCCUUUAAGACUGCAUCGCUUGAACGUCGGAGAGGUGAGUGGAAUUCCGAGUGUAGAGGUGAAAUUCGUAGAUAUUCGGAAGAACACCAGUGGCGAAGGCGGCUCACUGGACGACUGUUGACGCUGAGGUGCGAAAGCGUGGGGAGCAAAACAGGAUUGAG
rnacentral:rRNA from 1 species